GUGUCAGCAGCCGCGGUAAUACGAAGGGGGCGAGCGUUGUUCGGAUUUACUGGGCGUAAAGGGCGCGUAGGCGGCGGGUCAAGUCGAGUGUGAAAGCCCCGGGCUCAACCUGGGAAUUGCGCUCGAGACUGGACUGCUUGAGUUCGGGAGAGGAGCGUGGAAUUCCCAGUGUAGAGGUGAAAUUCGUAGAUAUUGGGAAGAACACCGGUGGCGAAGGCGGCGCUCUGGACCGAGACUGACGCUGAGGCGCGAAAGCGUGGGGAGCAAACAGGAUUAGAUACCCUGGUAGUCC
rnacentral:rRNA from 1 species